rnacentral:rRNA from 1 species
UACGUAGGGAGCGAGCGUUGUCCGGAUUUAUUGGGCGUAAAGAGCGCGUAGGCGGCCAGGUAGGUCAGCUGUGAAAACUCGAGGCUCAACCUCGAGACGCCGGUUGAAACCAUCUGGCUAGAGUCCGGUAGAGGAGAGUGGAAUUCCUGGUGUAGCGGUGAAAUGCGCAGAUAUCAGGAAGAACACCCGUGGCUAAGGCGGCUCUCUAGUACGGUACUGACGCUGAGACGCGAAAGCGUGGGGAGCGAACAGG